GGGGCCGAAAUAGUGUCGACGGACGUGUAAAGACGAGGCUUUCGCUCGCUUGAGCUGCGUUAGAAGCUCAAAAGCAAAUAGUUGCAAAUGACAACUUUGCUGAGGGCGAAUUGCUCGCCGCGUAAGCGGUGACGGUUUUUCCGACCUAAGUCCUGGGGCUUCAGACCCCUAGGCGGGGCCCGGGGGCGCCUGGCAACAGAAGCCCCCACC
rnacentral:tmRNA from 1 species